UUCAACAGCAAUGACUUUGCAACACAUUUCCCUUUGCGCUGCUCCUUUAAAUCCGCGUUUCAGUCAUCCGUGCCUCUGCGGUGCAAGCUUUCCUUUGCGCUUCAUUUUUUCUUUGCGCCUCGCUUUGUGUCCCUGAUUUGACGUGGGGGAGGGGUCAAGAGGUUGAGGUGUGUACAAGGGAUGAAGGCGCGUCCUUCUCGUUACGUCAUCAGCGCGAGCCCCAGACCGAGUGGAUCGAUCGAAAUGGAGGAGCAGAGACAUGCGGGUGAUGGAUCACAGGUGGAGGAAGAAGAAACUGAUCACUCUGCAUGGUAUGAUCAAAUUAUUAACUGUGGUUUUAUUGGGGCCGUUAAACCUGAGAACAAAGAGGCCAUAAUAAGAUCAAUUGUGCUUCAUGCAACUCUACGUUUGGUCCCUUUGUUGAAGCAAAUCUGAACAGGUCUUGAACUCUCCAAUCCUGGAAAACCAUUCAGGACUUUGCCACCAGUUCUUUUUCCCUGAUGUGGUGGAUGAUGAUGAUAAGGCUGAUGCAGACUUCAUCAUGCAGAACAUUCUUCCGAAAAUGUCGGAGAAGGGAUCAGUACAAGAGACUUAUGAAACCGCUAUAAUCAACUUUCUGCAAGACUUUCUCCAAGAAAUUGAAAGCUGUGUUAUGUAUGAACUGACAGAGUUGAUUUAGUAUAAAUAUUGUAAAAAAAAACCCACAAAUUAAUGUUAAAAUGUAAUUGAUUUAAUUCAGACAAUAUCAACCCCAUCCAAGCCAUUCAAUUUGACAACGGUUUAAACUGAAUUUAAAAUUAUACUA